UUCUGGAAAGAAGCUGGUCUGGGAUAAUUGUUGCUGGAGACACUGAGAGGCACUGAAAGCACCAGCAGGCAUUUUUUGACUAAACCCAAGAAAUUCGUAAAAUGUAAGACACAGUGUGAAAGGAGGGGGGAAAAAAAAGAGAAGAAAAGAAAAAAGAAAGCCCACUAACUUCCCCCAAACCCAAACUCUGCAGUUGUGAAGCCAAAGGAGCCCUCUGAAGACAGACAGUAAAGUCGACUCCCUGCAACGGAGAGUUCUUGCAAUAAGAGAACACACAAUUUUUCCUAAUUUCAUUUAUGCAAGCGAGAAUUGGGAAUGCCAGCACAGAGUCACAGAGAAGUGUGAAGGAAAGAAGCCUUUGCAUAAGACUUGCACCAUGAAGCUGCAGUGCCAGAAGAUGAUUAUCCUGUGUUGGAUAAUCACACUGAAAAGAGAAGAUCUUCCCUGAAGAAUUUAAAUGUAAAAAGAGACGAAAAACAAAUGAACACAAUUACCCUGGGAAAUAGAGGAAAAGAAAGGGAUAGAACUGUUCAGUAUCACAGGACACAGCCUCAGGAGGAGUUUUGAAUUUUCAGAGAACAGAAACACAUCUGGGAACACAUGUACCUGUCACAGUUACAUUUGCCCUGACAGCAUCGUGCCUUCCUGUCUGUCUAAAGGGUAGGAAAACAUAACCUGUGGAUCAUCCCUAUUCCUCUUUUCCAGCUGCUCUGCUUUUUAGCUAAAACCAGAUGCUGGGCAUGUCUAAACACACCUAAGACAGCAAAAGCUAGGAAAGGUGAGUCCCAAGUGAUGGGAAUUUGAAUGAGAGUUUUGCCUCAAAGUCAAGCAGAAAAGGCUGGUAUUUUGCUUGUUUUUAUUUUAAGGUAUGCUAAGAAAACUUUUCCCUGCCCUCAACCAUGAUCCCUUGCCUGAAGGAUGACACAGGCUGUCUGAAUUUGUGGAUGAGCACAAGAAUGGCUAAAGAGAAUGAAGAUAGCCCAGAGGGAUCACAGGGAAGGAUUAUAAACUCAGUUCUGACCUUGCUGAGCUUGAAUUGGUACAUAAUCACAAAGAAGAUGAUGUGAGUUUGCCUGGAGGGAGACUGGAGUAGAGAGAUCAAUCUCUGAGCUUCCUGCUUAGAAAGGAUGAACAUUUUUCCUGAGAUUUACCUACUGGUGAUUGACAGAUCAAGAUCAAAAAAGACCAGGAAAAUGGCCUUAUAAAACACAGAAAAUAUUUACCAGAUGGGAGGAGGAGGAGGUAGGGUGGAAACAAGAGUCUGAAUUCAUUAUUUGAAUUUGGGCUUGCUUGAUGACACCAUGGCUACAGCUAAACUUGCUCUGGUGUAAUCUCCUCUUGUCAUUGCAGAGGGGUUCAGAGGGGCUCUAACGCAGCUCCAGCAGGAAGAAAUUGGGAAGUCUUUCUGGAAAUCCAGGUGGUUUCCAAGUGUUAUAAUGCUUGCUCUUUGAAAGCAGAAGGUGCUCAGACUAAAAACACAUUCAUCUGUUGAGUGAAGUGUUUGCUUUUAUUCUUGGAGGCUGUUUCUCUACUGCGAAAUUAAAAGGGGAAGGAAAAAACUUCUGCAGACCUGAACUGCCUUUUUGAGGUUUGAUAUGAGGUAAUCUAAGUGCAUUUUGGAACACAAAGCCUGCUGAGGCAGCUUUGGGGAUCUGUGCAAGGUGGAAAAAAGUUCACACAUUCUCCAUACAAUGUCCCAAGAGCAGCCCCAUCCCCAGACCACUCCUAAACAACCAGUAAUGAUAAAAGAGCACCAUGGACAUGUCAGUGAUUAAACAGCUUGGGCAGCCGUGGAUUAGCACUUUAACACAAUUCCCUGCUGCAUUUGACGUCAAACAGCUCCAGAAGCUGGAGGGGCACUCCCUAGCAUUGGUCUGCUCUUAUCAUUUAUUCCCUGAGGAACAAGAAGAGCAAAAUCCUCUCACAUAGAAAAUUUAAAAAAUCAACAACCCAGAAUUUUUGUGAAUCAAAUUCUUCAGUGAGAGUCACAUCUUUCUUCUGAUCCAUCCCACUUACUUAAAGGCAUUUAAGUAAGAGGACUAUAUUAAGACUUAAGUGAUCUUAGGUUUUCUCCAUAGUCAAAAGAAGGAAGCAAAAGAAAUUAAUUGUUUAGAAAGUUUAAAUUCACCCUUCAAGAAGCAUUUUUUCUAUACGAUACUUGUUUAUUUGUUCAGUAUUUAGUCAAACUGUAAUACAAUAUAUAAUUACAAAAUAAUUACAUUUCUGCCUAUUCCACCAGUGAUUACUGUUCUGCAGCUAUCAAUCAACACCAGUUAUAAAACACUGAUUGCUAAAUAACUUGAAUACUGGGAUAAAAAACUACCAACCCAUGAGGCAAAACUUUCUGUCUGUCAGAAGUAGGGAAUAGAAGUUGGUUUUCACAUUCACAAGCACUGCUAACCCAAGAACAAGCAAA